rnacentral:rRNA from 1 species
AUGAACGCUGGCGGCGUGCCUAAUACAUGCAAGUCGAGCGAACGGACGAGAAGCUUGCUUCUCUGAUGUUAGCGGCGGACGGGUGAGUACCACGUGGAUAACCUACCUAUAAGACUGGGAUAACUUCGGGAAACCGGAGCUAAUACCGGAUAAUAUUUUGAACCGCAUGGUUCAAAAGUAAAAGACGGUCUUGCUGUCACUUUUAGAUGGAUCCGCGCUGCAUUAGCUAGUUGGUAAGGUAACGGCUUACCAAGGCAACGAUGCGUAGCCGACCUGAGAGGGUGAUCGGCCACACAGGAACUGAGACACGGUCCAGACGCCUACGGGAGGCAGCAGUAGGGAAUCUUCCGCAAUGGGCGAAAGCCUGACGGAGCAACGCCGCGUGAGUGAUGAAGGUCUUCGGAUCGUAAAACUCUGUUAUUAGGGAAGAACAUAUGUGUAAGUAACUGUGCACAUCUUGACGGUACCUAAUCAGAAAGCCACGGCUAACUACGUG